GGUCUAAGACCUCUGUGAUAUCCUCAUACGGCUGGGGAUGGGCUAAAGCUAACACUUACCCCUGUAAGUCUAAUACUCUGCCUGUCAAUCUCAAAACACAUCCCUCAAGCUACUCAAUGCGUACCGACUGAUCAGUAAGCAUUUGGAAAAUAGUAGAGAUAUGAGGGAUCAGAGUCUGGUCUGAGUCAUCCUGGGAUGUCGAUCUCUGAGCAAAGGCUGAAGUGGCAAACUGCUG
rnacentral:lncRNA from 1 species